rnacentral:rRNA from 1 species
GACGAACGCUGGCGGCGUGCUUAACACAUGCAAGUCGUACGGUAAGGCCCUUUCGGGGGUACACGAGUGGCGAACGGGUGAGUAACACGUGAGUAACCUGCCCACAACUUUGGGAUAACGCUAGGAAACUGGUGCUAAUACUGGAUAUGUGCUCCUGCUGCAUGGUGGGGGUUGCAAAGCUCCGGCGGUUGUGGAUGGACUCGCGGCCUAUCAGCUUGUUGGUGGGGUAGUGGCCUACCAAGGCGGCGACGGGUAGCCGGCCUGAGAGGGUGACCGGCCACAUUGGGACUGAGAUACGGCCCAGACUCCUACGGGAGGCAGCAGUGGGGAAUAUUGCACAAUGGGCGCAAGCCUGAUGCAGCAACGCCGCGUGCGGGAUGACGGCCUUCGGGUUGUAAACCGCUUUCAGCAGGGACGAAGCUUUUUGUGACGGUACCUGCAGAAGAAGCACCGGCUAACUACGUG